rnacentral:rRNA from 1 species
CCUCCGUACGGAGGCAGCAGUGGGGAAUUUUGCGCAAUGGGGGAAACCCUGACGCAGCAACGCCGCGUGGAGGAUGGAGUCCCUUGGGACGUAAACUCCUUUCGAUCGGGGACGAUAAUGACGGUACCGGAAGAAGAAGCCCCGGCUAACUUCGUGCCAGCAGCCGCGGUAAUAC